CAGUACCGUGAGGGAAAGGCGAAAAGAACCCCGGCGAGGGGAGUGAAAAAGAACCUGAAACCGUGUACGUACAAGCAGUGGGAGCACGCUUAGGCGUGUGACUGCGUACCUUUUGUAUAAUGGGUCAGCGACUUAUAUUCUGUAGCAAGGUUAACCGAAUAGGGGAGCCGAAGGGAAACCGAGUCUUAACUGGGCGUUAAGUUGCAGGGUAUAGACCCGAAACCCGGUGAUCUAGCCAUGGGCAGGUUGAAGGUUGGGUAACACUAACUGGAGGACCGAACCGACUAAUGUUGAAAAAUUAGCGGAUGACUUGUGGCUGGGGGUGAAAGGCCAAUCAAACCGGGAGAUAGCUGGUUCUCCCCGAAAGCUAUUUAGGUAGCGCCUCGUGAAUUCAUCUCCGGGGGUAGAGCACUGUUUCGGCAAGGGGGUCAUCCCGACUUACCAACCCGAUGCAAACUGCGAAUACCGGAGAAUGUUAUCACGGGAGACACACGGCGGGUGCUAACGUCCGUCGUGAAGAGGGAAACAACCCAGACCGCCAGCUAAGGUCCCAAAGUCAUGGUUAAGUGGGAAACGAUGUGGGAAGGCCCAGACAGCCAGGAUGUUGGCUUAGAAGCAGCCAUCAUUUAAAGAAAGCGUAAUAGCUCACUGGUCGAGUCGGCCUGCGCGGAAGAUGUAACGGGGCUAAACCAUG
rnacentral:rRNA from 1 species